GCGGAAGUGACGUACAGCGGCCGCCGGAGGUGUCGUUGGUGUGUUGCGCGACUGCCCUCUGAGGGAAGCGAGACCUGAUCGUGGAGCUGGGCCUGAGCCCGGAAAGACAUCGCAAUGUCGAUCGAAAUCGAGUCCUCGGAUGUGAUCCGUCUCAUCAUGCAGUACCUGAAGGAGAACAGCUUACAUCGGGCGUUAGCCACCUUACAGGAGGAAACGACUGUGUCUUUGAAUACCGUGGACAGUAUUGAGAGUUUUGUGGCUGACAUUAAUAGCGGCCAUUGGGAUACUGUUUUACAGGCUAUACAGUCUCUGAAAUUGCCAGACAAAACCCUCAUCGACCUCUAUGAACAGGUUGUUCUAGAAUUGAUAGAGCUCCGUGAAUUGGGUGCUGCCAGGUCACUUCUGAGACAGACUGACCCUAUGAUCAUGUUAAAACAAACACAGCCAGAACGGUAUAUUCAUCUGGAGAACCUCUUGGCCAGGUCUUAUUUUGAUCCUCGUGAGGCAUACCCAGAUGGAAGUAGCAAAGAGAAGAGAAGAGCAGCAAUUGCCCAGGCCUUAGCAGGGGAAGUCAGUGUGGUCCCUCCAUCUCGUCUCAUGGCAUUGCUGGGACAGGCACUGAAAUGGCAGCAACACCAGGGAUUGCUCCCUCCCGGCAUGACCAUAGAUUUGUUCCGAGGCAAAGCAGCUGUCAAAGAUGUAGAAGAAGAAAAGUUUCCUACGCAGCUGAGUAGGCAUAUUAAGUUUGGUCAGAAAUCACAUGUGGAGUGUGCUCGAUUUUCUCCAGAUGGUCAGUAUCUGGUCACUGGGUCUGUUGAUGGAUUCAUUGAAGUGUGGAACUUUACGACUGGAAAAAUCAGGAAGGAUCUUAAGUACCAGGCCCAGGACAACUUUAUGAUGAUGGAUGAUGCUGUCCUCUGCAUGUGUUUCAGCAGAGAUACAGAAAUGUUAGCAACUGGGGCCCAAGAUGGAAAAAUCAAGGUGUGGAAGAUUCAGAGUGGACAGUGUUUAAGGAGAUUUGAAAGGGCACACAGUAAAGGUGUCACCUGUUUAAGCUUUUCUAAGGAUAGCAGUCAGAUCCUGAGUGCCUCUUUUGACCAGACAAUUAGAAUUCAUGGCUUAAAGUCUGGUAAAACUCUGAAGGAAUUUCGUGGCCAUUCCUCCUUUGUUAAUGAAGCAACGUUUACACAAGAUGGACAUUAUAUUAUUAGUGCAUCCUCUGAUGGCACCGUAAAGAUUUGGAACAUGAAGACCACAGAAUGUUCAAAUACCUUUAAGUCCCUGGGCAGCACUGCGGGGACAGACAUCACUGUCAACAGUGUGAUCCUGCUUCCUAAAAACCCAGAGCACUUUGUGGUGUGCAACAGAUCAAACACGGUGGUCAUCAUGAACAUGCAGGGGCAGAUUGUUAGAAGCUUCAGCUCUGGUAAGAGAGAAGGUGGUGACUUUGUUUGCUGUGCCCUCUCUCCCCGUGGUGAGUGGAUCUACUGUGUGGGGGAGGACUUUGUGCUCUACUGUUUCAGCACAGUCACUGGCAAACUGGAGAGAACUUUGACAGUUCACGAGAAGGAUGUGAUUGGCAUUGCCCAUCACCCUCAUCAGAACCUCAUUGCUACCUACAGUGAAGAUGGACUCCUAAAGCUCUGGAAACCCUAAGUCAACUCUUCUUUUCAAACUAGCCUGGGAGCAUGCACUUCAAUGAAGACAUCCAUGUGACCUUGGGCUUGGCAAUGAGUUAAAAACAACAUCAAAAGCAUGAUCUGUGAAAGCAAAAAUUGUCAAGUUGGGAGUUCAUUAAAAUUAAAAACUUCUGCUCUAUGAAAAUUGAGGGAAUGAAAAGACAAGCCACAGAUUCAGAGAAGCUAUUUACAAAACACAUGGGUCAGAUAAAAAAACUUUAUACAGAAUAUACAAAGAACUCUAAAAAGUCAACAACAACAAAAACAAUCCAAUCAAAAAGUAGGCAAACGAUUUGAACAGAUACCUCACCAAAGAAGAUAUCCAGAUGGCAUAUAAACAUGAAAAGAUGCUUAGGAUUUGUCAUCAGGGAAUUGCAAAUUAAAAUGCAACAAUGAGAUAUCAAUAGCAUCUAUUGUUAGCUGCUGUUGAGUCAGCCCCAACUUAUGGUGACCCCAUGCACCAGAGGACAAAGCACUGCUUGGCCUGCACCAUCCUCAUCAUGGUUGUGGAUCAGAUCAUUGUCAUCUGUAGGGUUUUCAUUGGCUGAUUUCUGGAAGUAGAU